rnacentral:rRNA from 1 species
AUUGAACGCUGGCGGCAUGCCUAACACAUGCAAGUCGAACGGCAGCAGGGAUCUUUGCCCCGGAUGGAGCGGCGCGCACGGGAGUGUUGUCCAUGGGACUGCCUGCUGUUGUGGGGGAACGCCCGGCGACAGGCGCUUUAAUCCCGCACACGAUCUGCGGGUAAAAGGGGGGGCCUUUGACGCCUCGCGCUCAGGGGAGCGCCGAUGGCUGAUUAGCUAGUUGGUGGGGUAAAGGCCUACCAAGGCGACGAUCAGUAGCUGGUCUGAGAGGACGACCAGACACACUGGGACUGAGACACGGCCCAGACUCCUACGGGAGGCAGCAGUGGGGAAUAUUGGACAAUGGGCGAAAGCCUGAUCCAGCAAUGCCGCGUGUGUGAAGAAGGUCUUCGGGUUGUAAAGCACUUUUGUUCGGAAGGAAGGCCUUUGAGCUAAUACGGUCCUGGGUUGACGUUACCGGAAGAAUAAGCACCGGCUAACUACGUG